AUAAUGAUACUCCCGUGUCGUCAUGAUCCGAGCGUUAAAAGCGUCGCAGGUUAUGAGUGCGGCUGCAUGCGAUCCAUGCAGGGGUGAAAUUCCCGUGA
rnacentral:ncRNA from 1 species